rnacentral:rRNA from 1 species
UACGGGGGGAGCAAGCGUUGUUCGGAUUUACUGGGCGUAAAGGGCGCGUAGGCGGCGCAACAAGUCACUUGUGAAAUCUCCGGGCUUAACUCGGAACGGUCAACUGAUACUGCGCGGCUAGAGUGCAGAAGGGGCAACUGGAAUUCUCGGUGUAGCGGUGAAAUGCGUAGAUAUCGAGAGGAACACCUGCGGCGAAGGCGGGUUGCUGGGCUGACACUGACGCUGAGGCGCGAAAGCUAGGGGAGCGAACGGG